UCCGUGGCUAAAUGCCAAAAGGCCGUGGCUAAUUUCUAAAAUAUUUAUAGGAAAUAUUUACAUUUUAGAAGACGCCUAUUGAAGGUCUUACACAUUCGUAUAACCUGAAAAAAGCAUUCAAACAUAUAUUCAUACACAUUUCAUUCAUACACAUUCCAUUCAUACACAUUCCAUUCAUACACAUUCCAUUCAUACAGAAAUAUCCAUAAAAAUUAUGCAAAACAAUGAACCAAUCAAUUCCAAAACAUUCCAUUCAAUUCUUCAAUUCUAUACCAUUCCAAAAGAUAAAAGAAAAGGAAUGAAUUCUAAACCAUUCUAAACCAUUCUAUACAAUUCCAAAACAUACCAUCAAUUCCAUACCAUUCCAAUUUUCAUACAAUUCAUGUCAUUUAAAACAAAACUGACGAAAAGAUAAAUAAAGAAGAACCUAUUUGUUAGUGUCGGUCAUGCUCUUAGUCGCGCUAUUCGUCCCACUUUUAGUCGGACUUUUAGUCGCUUUUUUGCCAACAUUUUCGACAUUUGAAUCUCUUGUAGUAGGCGUGAUUAUGUUGUCGUGUUCUUGGCUCGACUGACCCUAAUGUAAAAAAAAAUUGAAAUUACAAAGAAAAUAUGAAUAUUGAUUUAUAUAAAAAUGCUAAUUACCUCAAUCGUCUCUCGACGUAAGUCUUCCCUUAGUUCCUUUAGUAUAUCCGGCAUCUGUUUUCUAAUGGCCUCUAGAACUGCCCGAUCAAAGUCUUCUUUACUUUUUUGUUGUUGAAUUUCUAUAUAAUUCGUCGUUGUGUUCUGUGAAGUCGCCAU
rnacentral:lncRNA from 1 species